rnacentral:rRNA from 1 species
AACGCGAAGAACCUUACCUGGGCUCGAAAUGCUAUGGACAGUCUGUGAAAGCAGAUCUUCCCCUUAAAAGGACCGUAGUAUAGGUGCUGCAUGGCUGUCGUCAGCUCGUGUCGUGAGAUGUUGGGUUAAGUCCCGCAACGAGCGCAACCCUUGUCCUGUGUUGCCAUGCCCGAAAGGGCGGAACUCGCAGGAGACCGCCAGCGAUAAGCUGGAGGAAGGUGGGGAUGACGUCAAGUCCUCAUGGCCUUUAUGUCCAGGGCUACACACGUGCUACAAUGGCCGGUACAAAGCGUUCCGAAGCCGCGAGGUGGAGGCAAUCGCAAAAAACCGGUCUCAGUUCGGAUUGCAGGCUGCAACUCGCCUGCAUGAAGCUGGAAUCGCUAGUAAUGGCAGAUCAGCACGCUGCCGUGAAUACGUUCCCGGGCCUUGUACACACCGUAGUAC